rnacentral:rRNA from 1 species
GAUGAACGCUGGCGGCGUGCCUAAUACAUGCAAGUCGAGCGAACAGAUAAGGAGCUUGCUCCUUUGACAUUAGCGGCGGACGGGUGAGUAACACGUGGGUAACCUACCUAUAAGACUGGAAUAACUCCGGGAAACCGGGGCUAAUGCCGGAUAACAUUUAGAACCGCAUGGUUCUAAAGUGAAAGAUGGUUUUGCUCUCACUUAUAGAUGGACCCGCGCCGUAUUAGCUAGUUGGGAAGGUAACGGCUUACCAAGGCAACGAUACGUAGCCGACCUGAGAGGGUGAUCGGCCAAACUGGAACUGAGACAAGGUACAGAUUCCUAAGAGAGGCAGCAGUAGGGAAUCUUGCGCAAUGGGCGAAAGCCUGACGGAGCAACGCCGCGUGAGUGAUGAAGGUCUUCGGAUCUUAAAACUCUGUUAUUAGGGAAGAACAAAUGUGUAAGUAACUGUGCACGUAUUGACGGUACCUAAUCAGAAAGCAACGGCUAACUACGUG